UACGUAGGCAGCGAGCGUUGUUCGGAUUUACUGGGCGUAAAGCGUGCGUAGGCGGCGGCUCAAGUCGGGGGUGAAAUCCUCUCGCUCAACGAGAGAAUUGCCUCCGAUACUGGGUCGCUGGAGGGGGAUAGGGGUGCGCGGAACUUCCGGUGGAGCGGUGAAAUGCGUAGAUAUCGGAAGGAACGCCGGUGGCGAAAGCGGCACACUGGAUCCCUACUGACGCUGAGGCGCGAAAGCCAGGGGAGCAAACGGG
rnacentral:rRNA from 1 species